AUCCCUGGUAGCAGUGGCAUCUCAGUCAAUGAAAUGCCAUGCGGGCACAGGAUGUGUCUGACCCUAGGAACCGUCUUUCAUCCCUGUGCGGUUUGCCUAAAGCAUGAUCAGGCUGCUCUUCUUUUGCAGUCUCCGUCGUGGAUCAGACGCCUGGAGUGAGCUUUUCAAGUGACAGGCGUCGGCAGGGAAGUGCAGAGGAGAUGAAGCUGAUGUCACACCAGCCCUCGGAGGGAAACAGGUUCCUCCAGCAGCCUCGGGGGUCACUUCCACUCUUGCAACGUCUGCAGGUGAAGAUGAUUCAGAGUCACCUCCCAGAAAACACAGGCCCCGUGGAAGCCCCUCUGCUGGAGGCCUGGCCUGUUUUGCGUUGUUUCUAAUAUGGAAUGGUUCUCACCACAUAAGAAUCAUCCAGCGAACUUUUUAAAAAACACAGAGGACUGGGCUCCACUCCCAGUUCAAGUUCAGCUGUUCACAACCUCCAGGAAACAGCUUUCUCCAGCCCCUGGAGCAUGGCCUUGACCCAGCCCAGCCCAGAUGUGCUCUUUUGUAUCCAGCCUUAUUUUCCUCAACAUGAAGAAGCCAACAGUUUUUCAUUGUUUGUUUUUUGCUUUUUCUUUUUUUUAAAGUUGCAGUUUUUUUUUUCUUCAACAAGCAGUGCCGGGUGGACUGUAGUGUACUCACGACAGAAAGAAGCCCCAACCCCGACUUUGCACGAUGUUGAAGACUCAGUGUAAACUGUGUUGCGUUUAUUCAGUUUUCUUUUUAAUUUAUGAAUAACUUAUUUAUAUGGUAAUAUACUUAUGUAGAAUAGUGGGUAUUUAACAAAAACAUUUAACUUUUAUGUGUGCAUGCUGUAUAGACUUUGUUUUUUUUUCUAGAGAUGAAAAAAUGCCAUAAAGGAAAUAAAAAUUUCCUUGUAGGAUGCUGCUAGCAGCAAACUUGAACUUACAGAAUAAAAGAUAGUACAUUUAAAGCUAGAGCAAUAGAAACGAUUUCAAUUAAAGCGCAGAGAUUAGACAGGGAAGAAGCCACAGCUUUAAUAAUGAGUGGGACCACACUUGGUGACUAAUAUCACAGUAACUAGAUUUUCGGAGAGGGGACGGUUAAGAACGGUUAGCUUUUCAAAUGCUCUGGAGUUCUAAGCCUGGAGCAUGGGGCCAUGAGGCAGCACAUCACGUUGCUGGCAGCAUCUUUUCUUAGAAAAAUAAAAAUGAAAGAAAACCCAUUACAUUACAAAAAGCAUUAAAGUAACCAUAGAAAAAGAUAUAUACAGAGGGACAAGGAGAAGGAUCACUGAUGGCUUCUUAUGUCUAACCACGGGAGCCAGUUGACAAUGGAGUGAGAUUUAAGUCCUGGGGAAGUUGAUUACACCAUAACCAAUGUACGUAUUUUUCAAGGGAAAAAGUGUACACAUUGUAUUGAAAUCAUUACUUGGUUGUUUUCUGUAGUGUACAUAUCAUUAGCUUCUCAAAGACAGAUCCUCCCAUGUAUACAUAAUUAAUAGCUCCUUAAAAUCCUUCCUUAUUGGGCUGGAGAGAGAUCUCAGCAGUUGGUGAUUUUGCUUCUAUUGCAGAGGACCUGGAGUUCUGUUCCCAGCACCCACAUGGUGACUCACACUGUCUGUAACUCAAUUCCAGGGGACCCUAUGCCCUCUUCUGGCCUCUGUGAGAACCAGGCAUGCAUUAAUGUAUAUACAUACACGCAGGCAAAACACUCCCACACAUAAAUCUUAAAAAUAUGAGUACAUAUUUUUGUUAGUCUCCUUUUUGCACUUUUCCCAUCAUCUAUUUUAACUCUCUACAAUAUUGCUGAUGAUUUUUCUAGAAUCUAGGGGUAAUCUAGAACACUUUCAUACAGAUAUAAACUGAUGAAUGUAUUGAUCUUUUAAUUUGUGGCUUUUGUAUUCUCUCUUUCCUUCCUUAGUGUUCCCUGAGCCUCGGGGUAGGUAGUAUAGAUAUUCCAUUUAAAGCUGAGAACUCCACAGUUAAUUGUCCUCAGCACUUUGACACAUUUAUAAACUACCACCAACUGCCAAAGGAGCUUCUUUUGACCAAAGCUGACAGCAGCCCUAGUCUGUGCACACAAAUGUAAAUAUCUCGAUGUAAAUAUUUAGAAGGUAGUUUGAUGAGUGCAUCAAGUCAGUUCAGCAAUACAACAGUAACUUUUCCAUUAGGAUCUAUGGCCUCUCAGCCAUGGGCUUUUGAACAGGUUGGCAGUACCAGGCAUUAAUUCCCUAUCGGGGAUCGGGUCUCAAAUUCUAUCAGAAAGUGGUUGGUUGGCUACCCCCUAACAUUCAUGCUGCUCCUGCAGAAGGGGACAUAUCUUACCUUGCAUGUUAGUAGCAUGUAGGGUCCACAGCUAAGUAAGACUGUUGAUGACAGUUCAUCACCGCAGCCUACACAGUCAACAGAAGGAAGCUUCCAGCUCAGUUCCAGUUUGUUUUUCCUCCGUCCUCCAGCCAGAGCAUGUAGUGUCUGUAGCAAUGGGGUCUUACAGCCUGGGUCUAGUGGGCAAACAACAAGAGUGGCAAUGACCUGUGUAGUUUUGCAUGUUUGUUAUUUUUUGAAAGGUAUUUAGAUUUUUUUCCCCUUGGAUUUUCAUUUAGUAGCUGUAGAUCAAUUUAAUCCUUUCAAGGGCUGUGGUAAUGAUGAUGUGGAGGAGUCUUUAUGUUAUGGCUCACUUAGUUUCCUUUCUAAAGGCAUUUAUUUUAGACAGGGUCUCGCUCUGUCUAGCCUUUAACUCACGGACCCUCCUUCCUCUGCCUCCAGGGUGCUGGGACUAAAGCUGUGCACCACACUGCACUUGUCAUAAACAUAUGGUUAUACGUGCAUCUCCUUUGACUGUUUGGUGUACUGACUAAUGUCUCUACAAUGCAGAGGGUAUAUAUAGGAAUGAUCUCCAACUCUUGGGCUUACUUGGUAUGUUGUUCAGACUUUCUUAUUGCUGUGAACAAAUACCUGGGAGAAACAACUUAUUGAGGAAACAAUUCCUUUUGUCUCAUGAUUUCUGAGAUUUUUAGUACGUAGUCCUUGG